AAGAAAGUGACAGAGUGGUAAUGUGGCUGGCUUGAAACCAGCAUAUGGGGGUUCGAUUCCUUCCUUUCUUG
rnacentral:tRNA from 1 species